rnacentral:rRNA from 1 species
CGGGUGAGUAACACGUGGUCAACCUUCCCUACAGUGGGGGAUAACUAGCCGAAAGGUUAGCUAAUACCGCAUACGAUCUAUGGGUGGCAUCACCUAUAGAUGAAAGGAGCAAUCCGCUGAAGGAUGGGAUCGCGUCCCAUUAGUUAGUUGGUGGGGUAACGGCCUACCAAGACUCCGAUGGGUAGCUGGUUUGAGAGAGCGACCAGCCACACUGGGACUGAGAAACGGCCCAG